UACGUAGGGGGCUAGCGUUGUCCGGAAUCAUUGGGCGUAAAGAGCGUGUAGGCGGUCCGGUAAGUCCGCUGUGAAAGUCGGGGGCUCAACCCUCGAAUGCCGGUGGAUACUGUCGGGCUAGAGUGCGGAAGAGGCGAGUGGAAUUCCUGGUGUAGCGGUGAAAUGCGCAGAUAUCGGGAGGAACACCAGUGGCGAAGGCGGUUGCCUGGGGCUUUGCUGACGCUGAUGCGCGAAAGCGUGGGGAGCGAACGGG
rnacentral:rRNA from 1 species